UUUGGAGGGAUCCAAUUAGCUCAUCCACUCUCAUAUUGCAGAUGUUUUGAGAUUCUUCUAUAGCUGUCACUUUCAUGGCAAAUCUCUUGGGAAGUGACCUGAGAAUUUUCCUCACCAGUUUUUCAUCUGACAUCUUCUCACUCAGGGCUCCUGAGGCAUUAGCAAUUUCAAGGAUAUUCAUAUGGAAGUCAUGAAUACUUUCAUCUUC
rnacentral:lncRNA from 1 species